ensembl:lncRNA
AAAGAAGGAAAGAAGAGCGAAGAAAUGAAAGAAGAGUGGAAGAAGGAAAGAAGAAAAGAAAGAAGAGUGAAAGAAGGAAAGAAGAGUGGAAGAAGGAAAGAAGAGUGGAAGAAGAAAGGAAAGAAGAGUUGAAGAAGGAAAGAAGAAAGGAAAGAAGAGUGAAGAAAGGAAAGAAGAGUAGAAGAAGGAAAGAAGAAAAGAAAGAAGGGAAAGAAGAAAGGAAAGAAGAGUGGAAGAAGGAAAGAAAAAAGAAAGAAGAGUGGAAGAAGGAAAGAAGAGUGGAAGAAGGAAAGAAGAAAGAAAAGAAGAGUGAAGAAAGGAAAGAAGAGUGGAAGAAGGAAAGAAGAGUGGAAGAAGGAAAGAAGAGAGA